UUCUAGAUGCAUCCUUGGGGAACUGUUCACAAAGAAGCCUAUUUUUCAAGCCAAUCUGGAACUGGCUCAGCUAGAACUGAUCAGCCGACUCUGUGGUAGCCCUUGUCCAGCUGUGUGGCCUGAUGUUAUCAAGCUGCCCUACUUCAACACCAUGAAACCGAAGAAGCAAUAUAGAAGGCGCCUGCGAGAAGAAUUCUCUUUCAUUCCUUCAGCAGCACUUGAUUUAUUGGACCACAUGCUAACACUGGAUCCUAGUAAGCGUUGCACAGCCGAACAGACCCUACAGAGUGACUUCCUAAAAGAUGUUGAGCUCAGC